CAGGCAAUCAAGGCUUUAAAUGCGUGGAUUUAUCAUCACCUCAAAUCGCCUGUCACUGUGAUGGAACAAAAAUAGAAAGUUGGGCUAAUAUCUUCCUGCUAGCAUGUUUCCAUCUGUGAGUUUGAUCAAAGCAACUUUAUCUGCGAAAUUUUGAAGAAUCAGCUUCAUCUCCACUUGGCAGCAUGUGGUAAAUGAAGGAAAUCCCAUCUUCCCAGAAUUCAGCUAGGAUCCAGAAGUGAUGCUGUUACGUGACGUCUUCAACCUCCCUCCCUCUGCCCAUCUCAGGGACCUCUCCAGAAGCCAGUCCCAAGAGUGGCAUUGGUUAGCAUAUCUCAAAUACAGUGGGAGAAGCCUCUUAGCUCAGCUCCAGUUAUUUCUCUAUUGUAGAAAACCAAGAGAGAGAUGAAUAAGGAAUGAAAACAUACUCCACAUGGACUCAAUAAAUCUUGGGUGAAAUGAUGCUGUCUGACAAGGUAAAUAAAAAAUGCAGCACUCAAGCACCAG
rnacentral:lncRNA from 1 species